rnacentral:rRNA from 1 species
UACGUAGGGUGCAGGCGUUAAUCGGAAUUACUGGGCGUAAAGCGUGCGCAGGCGGUCUGCUAAGAGAGGUGUGAAAUCCCCGGGCUUAACCUGGGAACUGCGCUUCUAACUGGCAGGCUUGAGUGUGGCAGAGGGGGGUGGAAUUCCACGUGUAGCAGUGAAAUGCGUAGAUAUCUGGAGGAACACCGGUGGCGAAGGCGGCAUCCUGGACCGACAUUGACGCUGAGGCGCGAAGGCCAGGGGAGCAAACGGG